CCCUUAGAUGUCCUGGGCCGCACGCGCGUUACACUGAUGCAUUCAACGAGCUUAUAACCUUGGCCGAGAGGCCUGGGCAAUCUUGUUAACGUGCAUCGUGAUAGGGAUAGAUUAUUGAAAUUAUUAAUCUUGAACGAGGAAUUCCUAGUAAACGCAGAUCAUCAAUCUGCAUUGAUUACGUCCCUGCCCUUUGUACACACCGCCCAUCGCACCUACCGAUUGGAUGGUCCGGUGAAGCCUCGGGAUUGUGGUUCUUGCCGCUUUAUUGUAGCGUGACCGCGAGAACUUGUCUAAACCUUAUCAUCUAGAGGAAGGUGAAGUCGUAACA
rnacentral:rRNA from 1 species